GCACUGUUUAAACACACAGGUUUGCUGCCUUGCAAUGGCUCUCAGAGCACUUCUGUGCCCUCCGCUCCUGACUAUGGAUUGGUGGAACCCACAGCCACAAUCCCAAUCCUCAGCUCAGAGACUCUCUUGAAACUCUGGACUCUGAUGGGGUAAUUACCACCAAAAUAAUGACCUGGUGCUGACGCACUCCAGUUGUCUGGACGGGGGGAGAGGAUAAAGACGACUAAGAUGGCGCAUUUCCGGGUUCUUCAUCACCAACUUACCCGCGCGCGGGAAAAUGCAGCCCACGCCCGGGAAAAAUACAAACCAACUGCGCAGGCGCAACAUGGCGUCCAAUCAAGGAAACCAAAACUUACCUGGCCGCACCUAAAAAACGCCCCCAACACGCCCGUGUCCCGUCUAUUGCCCUCCCACUCCCAAGCCUUAAACAAAAAAGUCGAUCCCGGCAGGCGCGCGGCGCGAACUUCCUCGGCCCCUCCUCAUAUGCGAACCUAGAAACCUGGCCCAAAAACGCCGGAGCAACUUCCUCGGCCUCCACCGCCGGAAACCGUUCCCCAUAGAGCAUCUAGUCCAGCGCUUGGAAAUGCCCAUGACUUCAGAGGCCAGUAAAGAGACAGCAAGGAGUCAAGAUUCUCUGCUGAAGAGAAACGAAAAUACCUUUCUGUGGUCAAAGGAGAAGAGUCAUUCCUGAGGAAAACUGUGAAAACGGAAUGUAAAAAGGAAAGAGAAGAAAAAGUCACACUGCAGCUCUACACUGAACAGUUUGCUUUCAUCUUUUGGGAAAUUUAUUUCCAUCUCCCAAAAAAGAGAGCUGCAAAUAAUGAUUCUCCUGAUGUAACCAUCCCAGUUGGAUCAUGUUAAAAAGCUUUUAGGAGGAAAGCACCAAGUUGAAUAGUUGCCACAGAGACUUCAUGGCCUGCAAAAUCUAAAAUAUUUACUAUCUGGCCUUUCACAGAAAAAGUUUCCUUCCUUCUGAUGUAGACCAAUGGCUCCCAUUGUUUCAGUGCAUCAGAAUCACCUACAGGCUUUGGGGGUUUUCUU